GGGUCAGUAGGUUGGUCGUGCCACCGGUACGUACUGGUCUCACUGAUUCCUCCUUCCUGAAGAACCGUAAUGCCAUUAAUUUGGUGUUGCGGGGAAACAGGACUGUUACUUCGAAAAAAUUAGAGUGCCUAAAGCAAGCUAACGCUUGAAUACAUUAGCAUGGAAUAAUGAAAUAGUACGAUCGAUCCUAUUUUGUUGGUUUCUAGGAUUGACGUA
rnacentral:rRNA from 1 species